rnacentral:rRNA from 1 species
AAUAGAUACCCAGGUAGUCCAUGCCGUAAACGUUGGGAACUAGAUGUAGGGCCUGUUCCACGGGUUCUGUGUCGUAGCUAACGCAUUAAGUUCCCCGCCUGGGGAGUACGGCCGCAAGACUAAAACUCAAAGGAAUUGACGGGGGCCCGCACAAGCGGCGGAGCAUGCGGAUUAAUUCGAUGCAACGCGAAGAACCUUACCAAGGCUUGACAUAUAGAAGAACACUGCAGAGAUGCAGGACUCUUUGGACACUUCUAUACAGGUGGUGCAUGGUUGUCGUCAGCUCGUGUCGUGAGAUGUUCGGUUAAGUCCGGCAACGAGCGCAACCCUCGUCCUAUGUUGCCAGCACGUAAUGGUGGGAACUCAUGGGAUACGUGCCGUGGUCAACACGGAGGAAGGUGGGGAUGACGUCAAAUCAUCAUGCCCCUUAUGUCUUGGGCUUCACGCAUGCUACAAUGGCCGGUACAAAGGGCUGCGAUACCGCAAGGUGGAGCGAAUCCCAAAAAGCCGGUCUCAGUUCGGAUUGGGGUC